rnacentral:lncRNA from 1 species
UAUUAUUUUCAGAUAUUCAAAAUAUGUUUCUCUUUUGCAAUUUACAUUAUUACAUUCCACUUAUGUUUUCAUUGAAAAAUGCCUCUUUUUUUCAAGCUGGCAUUGGAAUCUUGACCCUCAGCUUCCUCAUUUUCUUCCUCGUCUUCACACUUCUUCUGUAAUGCAGGCCUGAGCCCACAGACCUGACCAUUUAUCACCUGGUCUUCAUCCACAUAGUGAUCCUCCUUACUCUGGUGUCAUUGUUGUCUCCAGGUCUGCCUGAGUCACUGUAUUUUCAGAAUGACUUCAAGUGUAAAGGAUUUUUUUUACCUGAACAAGAUGAUGAGAAGUUUCUCCAUCUGCACCACCUGCUUCCUGAGUGUGCUUCAGACCAUAAUCAUCAGCCCCAGAAGCUCUUGGAACAAUGCUGCUUUCAAGUGCAUACAGAGUGGUCCUUUUGUUCAGGCACCAGAAGAAAUUCUGAUACUUUCACAGCACCAGCCUCUCCCCAAGACCUUCCCCAGAGAAAAGUGCCACUCAGACCAUCCUGCUGCUAGCCUUAAUACAGAGAACAUUUUUCUUUCUUUUUGAAGUAUAAUAUUAAGAAUAUCCUCCUGGUAAUAUAAUCUCUCUGUCUUCGUAUUUUUGAGAAUGUUUUAUUUUUAUUUAUUAAAGAUAUUUGACUAAAUAUUAAAUUCUUACACUCAAUAUUUACUUCUCCUUGUUCUGGCUUCUAUCAAGGCUGUGUGGAUGGUGCCUACAAAUUUGUGGCUUACCUCUGUUUUUUAUCUCCCUAAUUUUAAGAUUUUUCUUUCUUUUUAGUGUUAUACAGCUUGACUAUUAUUUCUGUAUAAAUGAUCACCUGUAUUUACCUUUUUUUUGAAAACUAUGUACUUCUGAAUUCGAGA